GGCGUGGCCGAGCGGUCCACCUUUGGGUGAGAACUGUUUGGCUGCGCCUUUCCUUGUGGGGAACCAGCAUUCGCUUAACGGCGUGUGUUGGCAAUCCACAACUUUUACUUUGAAAAAAUUAGAGUGUUUAAAGCAGGCUCACGCUUGAAUACAUUAGCAUGGAAUAACGAAAUAGGACGU
rnacentral:rRNA from 1 species